GACGAACCGUGCGAACGUUGUUCGGAAUCACUGGCUUAAAGGGCGCGUAGGCGGGUGGCCAAGUCAGAGGUGAAAUCCCACGGCUCAACCGUGGAAGUGCCCCUGAAACUGGUCAUCUCGAGGGAGGUAGGGGCGUGCGGAACUUCCGGUGGAGCGGUGAAAUGCGUAGAUAUCCACAGGAACUCCGGUGGCGAAGGCGGCACGCUGGACCCUCCCUGACGCUGAGGCGCGAAAGCCAGGGGAGCGAACGGG
rnacentral:rRNA from 1 species